rnacentral:rRNA from 2 species
GUUGGGUAGGGGAGCGUUCUGUAAGCCUGUGAAGGUGUGUCGUGAGGCAUGCUGGAGGUAUCAGAAGUGCGAAUGCUGACAUAAGUAACGAUAAAGCGGGUGAAAAGCCCGCUCGCCGGAAGACCAAGGGUUCCUGUCCAACGUUAAUCGGGGCAGGGUGAGUCGACCCCUAAGGCGAGGCCGAAAGGCGUAGUCGAUGGGAAACGGGUUAAUAUUCCCGUACUUGGUGUUACUGCGAAGGGGGGACGGAGAAGGCUAUGUUGGCCGGGCGACGGUUGUCCCGGUUUAAGCGUGUAGGUGUGUGUUCCAGGUAAAUCCGGUUCACUUUAACACUGAGGCGUGACGACGAGGCACUACGGUGCUGAAGCAACAAAUGCCCUGCUUCCAGGAAAAGCCUCUAAGCAUCAGGUAACACGAAAUCGUACCCCAAACCGACACAGGUGGUCAGGUAGAGAAUACCAAGGCGCUUGAGAGAACUCGGGUGAAGGAACUAGGCAAAAUGGUGCCGUAACUUCGGGAGAAGGCACGCUGACACGUAGGUGAAGUGAUUUACUCAUGGAGCUGAAGUCAGUCGAAGAUACCAGCUGGCUGCAACUGUUUAUUAAAAACACAGCACUGUGCAAACACGAAAGUGGACGUAUACGGUGUGACGCCUGCCCGGUGCCGGAAGGUUAAUUGAUGGGGUCAGCGCAAGCGAAGCUCCUGAUCGAAGCCCCGGUAAACGGCGGCCGUAACUAUAACGGUCCUAAGGUAGCGAAAUUCCUUGUCGGGUAAGUUCCGACCUGCACGAAUGGCGUAAUGAUGGCCAGGCUGUCUCCACCCGAGACUCAGUGAAAUUGAACUCGCUGUGAAGAUGCAGUGUACCCGCGGCAAGACGGAAAGACCCCGUGAACCUUUACUAUAGCUUGACACUGAACAUUGAGCCUUGAUGUGUAGGAUAGGUGGGAGGCUUUGAAGUGUGGACGCCAGUCUGCAUGGAGCCGACCUUGAAAUACCACCCUUUAAUGUUUGAUGUUCUAACGUGGACCCGUAAUCCGGGUUGCGGACAGUGUCUGGUGGGUAGUUUGACUGGGGCGGUCUCCUCCUAAAGAGUAACGGAGGAGCACGAAGGUUGGCUAAUCCUGGUCGGACAUCAGGAGGUUAGUGCAAUGGCAUAAGCCAGCUUGACUGCGAGCGUGACGGCGCGAGCAGGUGCGAAAGCAGGUCAUAGUGAUCCGGUGGUUCUGAAUGGAAGGGCCAUCGCUCAACGGAUAAAAGGUACUCCGGGGAUAACAGGCUGAUACCGCCCAAGAGUUCAUAUCGACGGCGGUGUUUGGCACCUCGAUGUCGGCUCAUCACAUCCUGGGGCUGAAGUAGGUCCCAAGGGUAUGGCUGUUCGCCAUUUAAAGUGGUACGCGAGCUGGGUUUAGAACGUCGUGAGACAGUUCGGUCCCUAUCUGCCGUGGGCGCUGGAGAACUGAGGGGGGCUGCUCCUAGUACGAGAGGACCGGAGUGGACGCAUCACUGGUGUUCGGGUUGUCAUGCCAAUGGCACUGCCCGGUAGCUAAAUGCGGAAGAGAUAAGUGCUGAAAGCAUCUAAGCACGAAACUUGCCCCGAGAUGAGUUCUCCCUGAGACUU